UUGUAACAGGCAAAAUAGUGUCCGUUACAAAUAAUUAUUUUUUUGUAGUGGGAAAAAUAAUGUCCAUUACGAAUGUGUAUGUAUUUGUAACAGACAAAUUAGUACCCGUUACGUAUACUUCGUAUUCACCUCUUUCUCUCUCAUCAGUCCCUCACUCCUUCUCUCUCUCUCCUCUCCUUUCCUCCCCGUCAUUCACCUCUUUCUCUCAUUUCAAACUCAGGCCCUCUCUCCUCUCCUCCAUUAAUCUUCCCCUUAACAACAAGUGAAGAUCUCUAAACCUAACCAAUGAAGAACAAUUGUUAGAUAAUUUGGGAUAUAUUUGCCGAAAAUUUCAACCAUUUUAGAUCGUGAGGUUUAUUCUGAAGUGACGUCUAUUAUAGAAUUAUGUAGAGCUCAGUUAAAAGUUGCUCAGCUUACUAGCACCAUGUCAACUAUUGAGAUGGUUAAUCGUCAUUUAUAAGCUAUUUUUUUAAGUUGUUUGUUUCUCCUGUAAUUUGAGCAUGUUAUUAAUGAUUGAUGUUGUUUGUUUGUAAAUACUAUAAGAAGCAAGCGCUGUCCGGCCCUGCAGAUAUUCUGGUGUCAACCCCUGCUUUUGUGCAACUUGUUUGAAAGCUGGUCUCUUCACCUGAAAGCCAUUCAAGAAUCGCUUUCUAUAGUUUGACCUGCAUACAACAGCUUCAAGAACUUUCUACAGUCUGUUGCCAAUUAUAUAGGGGUGUGUUGUUGAGGUUUUUGGACCAGAGGCAUCUGGGAAGACUACUUUAGCCCUUCAUGUAAUUGCUGAAGCUAAGAAGCAAGGAGGUACCAUGGGAUUUGAAUCGGAGAAAAUUUCCAACAAUUUUGGUGCUACUUCAAUACUUCGUGAGGUUUGGUUAUGCUUAGAGGAAAGGGGACGUUGAAGUUAUUCUUAUAAAUUUUUUUAGUUCUAGAUCAUGACAUUUGGUAGGGACGGUGAGAAUGCAAACACGAAAGCAUUUUAAGGGGUAUUUCUUUUUUUAGUGCCAUCUCGAGAUGUGUGGGGUGCGCACACACCAAGCUACACUCGCGCGCAUCACAAAGAUCACCAGCGGGCGCAGGAACCUGUGCUCCUCAAAUGCCAAAAUCCGACCAAGAACUUUCCGCGGGCGUGGGAAUUUACCCACGGGUGCGACAUUAUCGGAAGCGAGCGCGACACUUGUUGGCAGCCCCUAUAACCCCAAACGCACCCCUUCUUUCAUUUUUCCCUCAUAAAACCCUAUACCCUCUCUUGUACCAAGCCUACUUCACUUAUUUUGCUAUCAUUUCAACAUCAAUUUCAAUUGCCAAAAUCAAGUUUUUCAAAUCUACUACUCAAAACAAAAUUUUCAGAUUUCUUUCCCAAGUUCAAGUAAGAAAAAAAAUUGGGUCUUUUUCAAAAUUUUAAAAUUUUGUGUUGAGGUUUGGAGUUUUUUUUGGGAAAUUUAUUUGUUCUUACAUCUCCAUUUUGAGCAUUUUUCAAGCAUUUCAAGGCUUCAUUGAGGUAUGGUUUCUUAUUGUUUAUUCAUCAUCUUCCUCUUUGAUUUAAGCUUGAACCUUUAUGCUUUCAUGGUGAAAUUCUAUGGUUAGUACUUUUCACUUGGAAUUUAUGUUGAAUGAUAUUGAUGGAUGUUGAAUUGAAGUUUCCUCAUGAUAAAUGUGUGAACUUUGAUUGAAUUCUUGAAUAAUAAUUGUUGGUUAUUUUCUCUCUCAUGGGUUUUCUUUAUAUUAGUUUCUUAUCUCUGAUUGUUCAAUGAUUGGGAUUUAUUUUUCAAAUUGACUCAUGAUUAGGUUUCUUAUGUUCAAGUUUGCCUUCAAUCCAUGUUUAUUUGCUUAAUAUUCAUGAUGUUAUCAAUGUCAUUGUUCAUUUGUUACCAUUUCUUGCUUCUAUUGUGAAAUAUUUCCAUUUUGUGCUUGUUGUUAAACAACUACUUGUGCUUAGUCUUGAUACUUUGUAGAUGGCCACACUUUGUCAUAUGAAGCGUGCUAGAGCUAGUUCAAGCAAGUCGAGGUAUAUUGUUCCGCCUCCACCGAAGGUUGAGGAAACUUAUGGCAUUGAGUUUUCAAAGGAAUCUCAUUGGGAGUGCUUCAAACGUCUUUCAAAGAGAAAGCUUAGGGCAACGUGUUUCUAUGAUAAAACGACAAAAACGUUUCUAGGGAUUGACGAGGAUGUUCGCCUCCUUACGGAAGGGCUUGAUCUUUUGAACUUCUUGGAUUUGAAUGCCCCUACCUAUGCUAGGGUGACUUAUGAAUUCCUUUCUUCUCCGAGGUUGUUCCUGAACCGAGUGAAAAUUACUCAAAGAUUUUGACUUUCCAACUCUUCAUUAAUGAUCACUCUUUGACGGAUGCUCAACUAUGUUCAUAUUUCAUGUUUCCUUGGGUCGAGAAUUCGGAUCAUUGUAUUUCUCCGGCUCAUGGUAGAGUGGCAAGUGAGCAUGUAUAUGAUUAGCAACGUUGGUGGAGAAGUAUCUCGGAAGAAGGAAAGUAUAACCCUCAAACUUCAAAGUCCGCUUCCAUGAUUCAUCCGGCUACGCGAUAUUUCAACCGAAUGCUCACAUACUCUCUUUGCUCCAAGGACUCCUUGGGAGCUAUUUCCCGUGAGGAGCUUUGUUGGUUUUGGAUAACCGACCAAAAUGAUUUUGAGAUUGAGUCGGUGGAUUUCAUGUAGCGUUUGAUCUCCCGAUUCUUGGAUAUCCGUGAUGGAGUUUGCCUUUCGGGAUUGCAUCCAAUUGGGUGGGAUGAUUUCUAUACUAGCGCUUUUCAUCAAUGAGAAUUACAAGGCUAUGGUAGACGAGCUUCCACAGAUUAUUGAUCCUAGAGAAAAGUCCCCCUCGCAUUUCUUAAACAUCUCCACACUAGUGAAUAAAAAUUUCUUGAUCGAAGGAGGAAGGAAGAUGUUUUUAUUUGGAAGGUCUCUCGAUAUAAGGAAUGGUUUGUAAUCCCCUGCAAAGAGGCAACUACUCGUCCCGAGGAGAGAGAUUCUUUGCCCUGGAGGCCCCCAAUGCGAGAUGUUCAUCCCUCUAUCCGUCAAAGGACAAAUUGUACAAGAGAUCAUUCAACUAAUGUAUGCUCAUCGAUUGCUCAUUCUCUUUCCCCGGUUUAACCAGGAGGUACAUCUAUUCCCUCCCCUCUCCCACUCCUUCUACUUUUGAUAUGUCAACAAUUCAUGCCAAUCUUGAUUCUAUUGCUAACAUGUUGUACUCCAUGCCAUCUGUGCAACCUUCUUCCCUUUGUUAUGAUUACCAUACGUAUCGAUUAUAUGAUUUGCAUGUUUCUAUGGGUGAGAUAUAUCCUUACGUCAACUAUGUGUACCUUCCGGUCCAACAAGGACCUGUCCCCCAAUGGGAGCCUUUUAAUCCUACUGUGGAUCCUAGACUUUGUUAUCCUUAUUGGGAGGGCCCCCAUAUUCACUCUAGUUCUAUCAUAGGAACUACCCCGGGCACUUACGACUAUAGGCGUCCCGGGUGUUGUGAUUAUGCGUAUGAUCCGGCUAAUCCUUUGCCUUUUUCGGACCCCGAGACUUUUGGUAGGUGGGGUAGGUCGGGUGAGCCGAUCUUAGAUGAUUUGUCUCAUUAUUUUGAGCUUGAUAUAAUUUAGGAAGGAAAGUCGGUUUAGGGGUAAGGUUCCCAUGGAACUGAGCGAGAUGGUAAUCUCUAGUCAUUUGAUGGAGAUCGGUGAGGGGAGUUCUCAUUCUACCCCUUACCAUAGUGCGUGAUGAUUCUACCUUGGUCCCCACCCUCCUUUCUUUUGUGAUUUAUAUAUGAUAUUUCUCUUUUACCUAUUUGUCUUUAGGUUUAGAGUGAUGAGGCAUGGCCUAUUUUAAGUUUGGGGGUAUUAUUUGUCGUUUCUUGUUGAGUUUAGCUUUAGAGUGAAUAUAUGAUAUUUCUCUUUUACCUAUUUGUCUUUAGGUUUAGAGUGUGCAUGUUUUGAAAAUAUUUGCGGUUGACUCUAGGAUAGGAUAUGCUAAGGUAGUGGACCUUUAGGGGCCUUGAAGCCGGAUUUCGUUGGGUUUGUGGUAAGACGGAGUUGCUUCCUUUGGUUGAUUCGAUGCCCUUAGUGAGUUUUUGACACAUCCAUGUGAGGUUCCUUAUUUUUCACGCCUUCAACAUAUAUUUGCAUGAGCGGCAUGGAUCCUUGACUAUU